rnacentral:rRNA from 1 species
UACAGAGGGUGCAAGCGUUGUUCGGAAUUAUUGGGCGUAAAGCGCGUGUAGGCGGCAUAGCAAGUCGGGUGUGAAAGCCCUCAGCUUAACUGAGGAAGUGCGCCCGAAACUGCUGUGCUUGAGUGCCGGAGAGGAUGGCGGAAUUCCCCAAGUAGAGGUGAAAUUCGUAGAUAUGGGGAGGAACACCGGUGGCGUAGGCGGCCAUCUGGACGGUAACUGACGCUGAGACGCGAAAGCGUGGGUAGCAAACAGG